CCUACGGGGGGCAGCAGUGGGGGAUAUUGCACAAUGGGGGGAACCCUGAUGCAGCGACGCCGCGUGAGCGAAGAAGUACCUCGGUAUGUAAAGCUCUAUCAGCAGGGAAGAAAAUGACGGUACCUGAGUAAGAAGCCCCGGCUAACUACGUGCCAGCAGCCGCGGUAGUACGGAGGGGGCAAGCGUUAUCCGGAUUUACUGGGUGUAAAGGGAGCGUAGACGGCAGUGCAAGGCUGGAGUGAAAGGCGGGGGCUCAACCCCCGGACUGCUGUGGAAACUGUACGGCUGGAGUGCAGGAGAGGUAAGUGGAAUUCCUAGUGUAGCGGUGAAAUGCGUAGAUAUUAGGAGGAACACCAGUGGCGAAGGCGGCUUACUGGACUGUAACUGACGUUGAGGCUCGAAAGCGUGGGGAGCAAACAGGAUUAGAUACCCCAGUAGUC
rnacentral:rRNA from 1 species